UACGUAGGGGGCAAGCGUUGUCCGGAUUCAUUGGGCGUAAAGAGCUCGUAGGCGGUUCAGCAAGUCGGGUGUGAAACCUCCAGGCUCAACCUGGAGACGCCACCCGAUACUGCUGUGACUUGAGUCCGGUAGGGGACCACGGAAUUCCUGGUGUAGCGGUGAAAUGCGCAGAUAUCAGGAGGAACACCGGUGGCGAAGGCGGGUCUCUGGCCGGUACCGACGCUGAGGAGCGAAAGCGUGGGGAGCGAACAGG
rnacentral:rRNA from 1 species